AAUCUCAAUUUUAAUAGUGACACAAUUGAUCGAACUGCCUGAAAAAGCUUUGACAUAAACAUAAAUGUGCCACAUUUUUUCACUUUUUGUGACGUACGUAUUAAGUUUAUAUUGUUUGAGUUCUUCCAGUCAUAAUUUUAAAUCACAGAACUGAUAAUUUAGUUCUAUAUGCUGUAAAUUUACGCGACAUGUUACAGAAACAUAAUGAUUACUGAUGUUGAACUGUCAAACAGCACCUUACAAAAUCAGAUGAAGAUUGCAGUCGAUUGGAAAUUUGUUUAUUACGAAGGUGAAACAGCAUGAAAACCAAUCAUAAAUUUAACACCGAGUUGAGCCACAAACCUGGAAAUGACAAUCCGAUGCCAUUAGCCGAUGCAGUGGUAAACGAAAACAGCCACGCUCAGUAAAUCAGAAGGCGGCUUUGUCUGCUUGGCUGCGAUGACGGCUGUCUCAGUACAUACCAGUCCUGCAAAAUAUCAGUCUCAGUGCCUGUUUUUCAGCCGAAAAUGAAUGACUGCGGCGGUCGUUUUCAGUUCCUCGAUGUGAGAACUGACAGAGUCCGAGAGCUCCAUUCGUGAGCGACCCAACAAGA